AACGAACGCUGGCGGCAUGCCUAACACAUGCAAGUCGAACGAGACCUUCGGGUCUAGUGGCGCACGGGUGCGUAACGCGUGGGAACCUGCCUUUAGGUUCGGAAUAACUCAGAGAAAUUUGAGCUAAUACCGGAUAAUGUCUUCGGACCAAAGAUUUAUCGCCUUUAGAUGGGCCCGCGUUGGAUUAGCUAGUUGGUGGGGUAAAGCCUACCAAGGCGACGAUCCAUAGCUGGUCUGAGAGGAUGAUCAGCCACACUGGGACUGAGACACGGCCCAGACUCCUACGGGAGGCAGCAGUGGGGAAUAUUGGACAAUGGGCGAAAGCCUGAUCCAGCAAUGCCG
rnacentral:rRNA from 1 species